UACGUAGGGCGCAAGCGUUGUCCGGAAUUAUUGGGCGUAAAGAGCUCGUAGGCGGCUUGUCACGUCGGGUGUGAAAGCCCGGGGCUCAACCCUGGAAAGCCGGUGGAUACUGUCGGGCUAGAGUCCGGAAGAGGCGAGUGGAAUUCCUGGUGUAGCGGUGAAAUGCGCAGAUAUCAGGAGGAACACCGGUGGCGAAGGCGGGUCUCUGGGCAACAACUGACGCUGAGGAGCGAAAGCGUGGGGAGCGAACAGG
rnacentral:rRNA from 1 species